CUUUCGCAUGAUCUUGCUCGCUCUCUGUAUCUGUGUACAUCUCUCGCAGCGAUUUGCGCGAUUCAUCAGUAUCAGGUUGUAGAGAGAGCUCUUCCUAUGGAGACCGAUCAGCAUCCGAAGAUCUACCGCAUAAAGCUCUGGGCCACCAACGAGGUUCGGGCCAAGUCCAAGUUCUGGUAUUUUCUGAGGAAGCUUAAGAAGGUGAAGAAAAGCAAUGGUCAAAUGCUCGCUAUCAAUGAGGCAUAUGUCUAUCUAUCUCAUAGAGUAAAUUACUUUCUAGGGUUUUGAAUAUAAUCAAUUCAUGUUUUGAUUAGUGCCUAUUAAUUAGUUUGUUGGUUCUAGGUAACAAAAGAACAAGAAUUUAAGCAGAGCUUGUGGUCUUAGUGAUAGUAGAUUGUUUCUGGUUGUGUUUUAUUCUAUAAUGGGGUUUGAGUCUUUUGAUUUUUUGUUUUCACUCUCAUUAUGUGUUUUUCUUGGAAAUACAAUUCUAUAUUUCAGUGCAUUAUCUCCAAUGGCUUAUUCUGAGAAUUUUCAGUAAUAAACUUUAUGCGCUGCAUUUUCUUAAUGAUGUAAUAGUACCUGGUUUUGCAACUUUUUGAGUAGAUAUGUCCUGUUUCCAAGGAUUGUUCUUUUUUCUUGAAGCAGCUUCUUUGCUGCUCCACAACUUUUGCAUUUUCCAUAUUAGUCCUCCUGGUCACGAGGUUUGUGAAUUGGUUGAUUUUUCUGCAAUUGUAUGAUUCUAUUAUUCUUAUUUCAUGAAUUUUUAUUUUGAACUGUUUUUGUCUGUUCUACUGAAUGCUAUUAUUCACGUAAGACACAUUUCAUUAGACGUUUAGGUGAGCUUUUUUAGAAUGCCUUCAUUUCUAUUGGGCCUUCUGUUGCAUUUUUCUGCUAAUGUUUGUGGAAAACUAGAAAUAUACUUGUUAAACUAGAAAUAUACUUGGUAUUUUAUUUAUUUACUUGACAGGUCCUAGACGAAAUUAGAGUUGAUGUUGCCUCUCAGGUUAGUAUUCAUAGGAGUAUUUUUAUGAAUUUAUCUUGUUAGUUGAUUCUAUUUUUCAUGUAUUAAAUUGGUUUUAAAUUUAACUUGCACUCUUGACAGUUAUCAGCGGGCUUCCAAAGGAAGAAUAGCUGGAAAGAAGACCGAGGAUGCUAACAGUUUAUGAAAAAAGUUUACUUUUUGGUCACUUGGCACUACGAAUUCUGGAGGCAUGCUAUGUUGUGGUUGUCCAACAAUUUCUACUCAAUUUGAUACAUAAAUGUCAAUCACACAACAUUUCAAAGGUACUCCUUUUCAAUAUAUACAUCCUUUUCAUAUACUUAAUUUUGUAUGUUAGAAUGAUGUUGGUUUUUAUUGGUUGUUAA